rnacentral:rRNA from 1 species
AUUGAACGCUGGCGGCAUGCCUUACACAUGCAAGUCGAACGGUAACAGGUCUUCGGAUGCUGACGAGUGGCGAACGGGUGAGUAAUACAUCGGAACGUGCCUAGUAGUGGGGGAUAACUACUCGAAAGAGUGGCUAAUACCGCAUGAGAUCUACGGAUGAAAGCAGGGGGUCGCAAGACCUUGUGCUACUAGAGCGGCCGAUGGCAGAUUAGGUAGUUGGUGGGAUAAAAGCUUACCAAGCCGACGAUCUGUAGCUGGUCUGAGAGGACGAUCAGCCACACUGGGACUGAGACACGGCCCAGACUCCUACGGGAGGCAGCAGUGGGGAAUUUUGGACAAUGGGCGAAAGCCUGAUCCAGCAAUGCCGCGUGCAGGAUGAAGGCCUUCGGGUUGUAAACUGCUUUUGUACGGAACGAAAAGCCCUGGGUUAAUACCCUGGGGUCAUGACGGUACCGUAAGAAUAAGCACCGGCUAACUACGUGCCAGCAGCCGCGGUAAGAC